UACGUAGGGUGCAAGCGUUGUCCGGAAUUAUUGGGCGUAAAGAGCUCGUAGGCGGUCUGUCGCGUCUGCUGUGAAAACUCAGGGCUUAACCCUGAGCUUGCAGUGGGUACGGGCAGACUGGAGUACUGCAGGGGAGACUGGAAUUCCUGGUGUAGCGGUGGAAUGCGCAGAUAUCAGGAGGAACACCGGUGGCGAAGGCGGGUCUCUGGGCAGUAACUGACGCUGAGGAGCGAAAGCGUGGGGAGCGAACAGG
rnacentral:rRNA from 1 species